AUUGAACGCUGGCGGCAGGCCUUACACAUGCAAGUCGGACGAGUGGCGGACGGGUGAGUAAUGUAUGGGAAUCUGCCGGAUGAUGGGGGAUAACUACACGAAACGGUAGCUAAUACCGCAUACCAUUCGAUGAGCCCAUAUGUGAUUAGCUGGUUGGUAGGGUAACGGCUUACCUAGGCGACGAUCCCUAGCGGGUCUGAGAGGAUGAUCUGCCACACGGGGACGGAGACACGGCCCAGACUCCUACGGGAGGCAGCAGUGGGGAAUAUUGGACAAUGGGCGCAAGCCUGAUGCAGCCAUGCCGCGUGUAUGAAGAAGGCCUUCGGGUUGUAAAGGACUUUUAUCAGGGAAGCGGUACCGACAGAAUAAGCACCGGCUAACUCCGUGCCAGCAGCCGCGGUAAUAC
rnacentral:rRNA from 1 species